rnacentral:rRNA from 1 species
AUUGAACGCUGGCGGCAGGCUUAGCACAUGCAAGUCGAGCGGAGAUGAGGUGCUUGCACCUCAUCUUAGCGGCGGACGGGUGAGUAAUGCUUAGGAAUCUGCCUAUUAGUGGGGGACAACAUUCCGAAAGGAAUGCUAAUACCGCAUACGCCCUACGGGGGAAAGCAGGGGAUCUUCGGACCUUGCGCUAAUAGAUGAGCCUAAGUCGGAUUAGCUAGUUGGUGGGGUAAAGGCCUACCAAGGCGACGAUCCGUAGCGGGUCUGCGAGGAUGAUCCGCCACACUGGGACUGAGACACGGCCCAGACUCCUACGGGAGGCAGCAGUGGGGAAUAUUGGACAAUGGGCGGAAGCCUGAUCCAGCCAUGCCGCGUGUGUGAAGAAGGCCUUUUGGUUGUAAAGCACUUUAAGCGAGGAGGAGGCUACCUGGAUUAAUACUCUAGGAUAGUGGACGUUACUCGCAGAAUAAGCACCGGCUAACUCUGUGCCAGCCGCCGCGGUAACAC